rnacentral:rRNA from 1 species
UGGGGAAUAUUGCACAAUGGGCGCAAGCCUGAUGCAGCCAUGCCGCGUGUGUGAAGAAGGCCUUCGGGUUGUAAAGCACUUUCAGCGAGGAGGAAGGUGGUGAGCUUAAUACGCUCAUCAAUUGACGUUACUCGCAGAAGAAGCACCGGCUAACUCCGUGCCAGCAGCCGCGGUAAUACGGAGGGUGCAAGCGUUAAUCGGAAUUACUGGGCGUAAAGCGCACGCAGGCGGUUUGUUAAGUCAGAUGUGAAAUCCCCGGGCUCAACCUGGGAACUGCAUUUGAAACUGGCAAGCUAGAGUCUCGUAGAGGGGGGUGGAAUUCCAGGUGUAGCGGUGAAAUGCGUAGAGAUCUGGAGGAAUACCGGUGGCGAAGGCGGCCCCCUGGACGAAGACUGACGCUCAGGUGCGAAAGCGUGGGGCAGCAAACAGGAUUAGAUACCCUGGUAGUCCACGCUGUAAACGAUGUCGAUUUGGAGGUUGUGCCCUUGAGGCGUGGCUUCCGGAGCUAACGCGUUAAAUCGACCGCCUGGGGAGUACGGCCGCAAGGUUAAAACUUAAAUGAAUUGAC